UGAGGCCAAAAGGAAUGAGUAUCUAAUGGUGGAACUUCAGGCUGGGGAUCUGGGGGCUGGGUUGCAACAGAGCUGUUGAGAAGGUCAAAACUGUAGAAUGUUCAGCUCUGAUGAGAUAAACUGAGGCUGCUUGGGAGAGAAUUUUUGGAUCUGCCUGGAAUUUGUGCAAUCUGAAAUGAAGACCAUGGAGGCUCUAUGUGAACCACGAGACUAGAAAGAAUGAUGCCCAUUCUCCUGCUUCCAGGAA
rnacentral:lncRNA from 10 species